rnacentral:rRNA from 1 species
GGUUGCGAUCAUACCAGCACUAAUGCACCGGAUCCCAUCAGAACUCCGCAGUUAAGCGUGCUUGGGCGAGAGUAGUACUAGGAUGGGUGACCCCCUCGGAAGUCCUCGUGUUGCAACCC